rfam:Agrilus planipennis Contig43477, whole genome shotgun sequence.
AAAUCGGUCCUUAUCAGGACCACAAUUAUUGAUAGUCACUAAUUA